rnacentral:rRNA from 1 species
AUUGAACGCUGGCGGAAUGCUUUACACAUGCAAGUCGAGCGGCAGCGCGGGGCAACCUGGCGGCGAGCGGCGAACGGGUGAGUAAUGCAUCGGAACAUGUCCAAGUCGUGGGGGAUAGCCCGGCGAAAGCCGGAUUAAUACCGCAUACGCCCGAGAGGGGAAAGCCGGGGACCGCAAGGCCUGGCGCGACUGGGUUGGCCGAUGUCCGAUUAGCUAGUUGGCGGGGUAAGAGCCCACCAAGGCGAUGAUCGGUAGCUGGUCUGAGAGGAUGAUCAGCCACACUGGGACUGAGACACGGCCCAGACUCCUACGGGAGGCAGCAGUGGGGAAUUUUGGACAAUGGGGGAAACCCUGAUCCAGCCAUUCCGCGUGAGUGAAGAAGGCCUUCGGGUUGUAAAGCUCUUUUGUCCGGAACGAAACGGUGCUCGUGAAUAUCGAGCGCUACUGACGGUACCGGAAGAAUAAGCACCGGCUAACUACGUGCCAGCAGCCGCGGUAACAC